rnacentral:rRNA from 1 species
GACGAACGCUGGCGGCGUGCUUAACACAUGCAAGUCGAACGGAAAGGCCCUGCUUUUGUUGGGUGCUCGAGUGGCGAACGGGUGAGUAACACGUGAGUAACCUGCCCUUGACUUUGGGAUAACUUCAGGAAACUGGGGCUAAUAUCGGAUAGGAGCUCCUGCUGCAUGGUGGUGGUUGGAAAGUUUCGGCGGUUGGGGAUGGACUCGCGGCUUAUCAGCUUGUUGGUGGGGUUGUGGCUUACCAAGGCUUUGACGGGUAGCCGGCCUGAGAGGGUGACCGGCCACAUUGGGACUGAGAUACGGACCAGACUCCUACGGGAGGCAGCAGUGGGGAAUAUUGCACAAUGGGCGGAAGCCUGAUGCAGCAACGCCGCGUGCGGGAUGACGGCCUUCGGGUUGUAAACCGAUUUCGCCUGUGACGAAGCGUGAGUGACGGUAAUGGGUAAAGAAGCACCGGCUAACUACGUG